CUGACCGAAGGCACGGGCCAGAAGGAGAAGCGAAAGAAAAAUCGAGCUCCUGCUGAACCCAGCAGGCCCCCGACUGAUAAACGGGUCUCGCCCCGACGAUAGAGCCCGAGAUCGCCCCAACGACGGAGUCCGAGACCGACGCAUCACAGGUAUGACUCCUACACCCCUCUCUCUGCUCCUCGUGCGCAGAUCCUGAUAGA
rnacentral:lncRNA from 1 species